rnacentral:rRNA from 1 species
CCUACGGGAGGCAGCAGUGAGGAAUAUUGGUCAAUGGGCGGGAGCCUGAACCAGCCAAGCCGCGUGAGGGAAGAAGGUACAGCGUAUCGUAAACCUCUUUUGUCAGGGAACAAAGGCGGGGACUAGUCCCCGUAUGAGGGUACCUGAAGAAAAAGCAUCGGCUAACUCCGUGCCAGCAGCCGCGGUAAUACGGAGGAUGCGAGCGUUAUCCGGAUUUAUUGGGUUUAAAGGGUGCGCAGGCGGCCUGUUAAGUCAGCGGUAAAAGCCCGGGGAUCAACCCCGGCGAGCCGUUGAAACUGGCGGGCUGGAGUUGGAGAGAAGUACGCGGAAUGCGAGGUGUAGCGGUGAAAUGCUUAGAUAUCGCGCAGAACCCCGAUUGCGAAGGCAGCGUACCGGCUCCAAACUGACGCUGAGGCACGAAAGCGUGGGUAUCGAACAGGAUUAGAUACCCUAGUAGUC